rnacentral:rRNA from 1 species
GACAUAGGUGGCGAACGUUAUCCGGAAUUAUUGGGCGUAAAGGGUGCGUAGAUGGUAGAAUAAGUUACUGGUCGAUGCCAAACUCAAUUUGACGGAAGCUGGUAAUACUGUUCUGCUCGAGGGCAGGAGAGGUUGAUGGAAUUCUGUGUGGAGCGGUGAAAUGCGUUGAUCUACAGAGGAACACCAAGAAAGGCGAAGGCAGUCAACUAUUCUGUUCCUGACAUUGAGGCAUGAAAGCGUGGGGAGCAAACCGG